UAAUGAUUCAGUCCCAGGCAGAUAGUUCAUUAUAUGUCUAUAUGAACAUUAGAGGUACGGAAAAGUUUAAUUUUAGCUAAGAAUUAAGUAUAUUUUUUAUUUAUAUGUAAAUUUUUUUAAAUAAAUAUUAGCAGUAGAAAGUUUUAAAUAUUUAAGUAAUUAAGAUUUAGGAAAAAAUUUUUAUUAUUAACCAAAUUUGUGCCAGCAGUUGCGGUUAUACAAAUAAUAUAAAUUAAUUUUAUUAAUAAUAAUUAAUUGUUAAAAAAAUUUUAUUUUAAAUUUUAUUAAGUGAAAUUUUAAUUUUUAUUUAAAAUUGAAAUAUAAAUUGAAAUUAAGAAAUUUUAAGAAUAAACUAGGAUUAGAUACCCUAUUAUUUAAAAAGUAAUAUAUUUAUUAAAUUAAUAAUAGUUAUGUUCUUUAAAAUUAAAAAAUUUGGCGGUAUUUUAGUCUUUUCAGAGGAACCUGUUUUGUAAAUGAUAAUCCACGAUUAGAUAAAUUUUUAUUUUUAAUUUACAUAUCGUCGUAGUAAAAUAUUUUUAUAAAAUUUUAAUAUUUAAGAUUUUUAAUUAAAAAAUUAAUCAGAUCAAGGUGUAGUUUAUGUAAAAAUAUAAAUGGGUUACAUUAAAUUUAUUUAGGGAUAAUUGUUUUUAAAAUAAUUUGAAUUUGGAUUUGAUAGUAAAUUUUUUAAUUUUAAAAAUUUGAUUUUAGCUCUAAAAUAUGUACAUAUCGCCCGUCGCUUUCAUUUAAAUGAAAUAAGUCGUAACAAAGUAGAUUUACUGGAAAGUAAAUCUAGAUUCAA
rnacentral:ncRNA from 1 species